AUGACCUACGGGAGGCAGCAGUGAGGAAUAUUGGUCAAUGGGCGAGAGCCUGAACCAGCCAAGUCGCGUGAGGGAAGGCGGUCCUAUGGAUUGUAAACCUCUUUUGCCGGGGAGCAAAAAGCGGUACGUGUACCGCAUCGAAGGGACCCGGAGAAAAAGCAUCGGCUAACUCCGUGCCAGCAGCCGCGGGAAUACGGAGGAUGCGAGCGUUAUCCGGAUUUAUUGGGUUUAAAGGGUGCGUAGGCGGAAUGCCAAGUC
rnacentral:rRNA from 1 species